CUCCUAAAAGGUAACGGAGGCGCUCAAAGGUUCCCUCAGAAUGGUUGGAAAUCAUUCAUAGAGUGUAAAGGCAUAAGGGAGCUUGACUGCGAGACCUACAAGUCGAGCAGGGUCGAAAGACGGACUUAGUGAUCCGGUGGUUCCGCAUGGAAGGGCCAUCGCUCAACGGAUAAAAGCUACCCCGGGGAUAACAGGCUUAUCUCCCCCAAGAGUUCACAUCGACGGGGAGGUUUGGCACCUCGAUGUCGGCUCAUCGCAUCCUGGGGCUGUAGUCGGUCCCAAGGGUUGGGCUGUUCGCCCAUUAAAGCGGUACGCGAGCUGGGUUCAGAACGUCGUGAGACAGUUCGGUCCCUAUCCGUCGUGGGCGUAGGAAAUUUGAGAGGAGCUGUCCUUAGUACGAGAGGACCGGGAUGGACAUACCUCUGGUGUACCAGUUGUCGUGCCAACGGCAUAGCUGGGUAGCUAUGUGUGGACGGGAUAAGUGCUGAAAG
rnacentral:rRNA from 1 species